AAGGCAGCCCACAGAGUCGAGGACUCUAUGGAGCUGGCUGUAUCUGUGAGGCUGAGGGAGAAAUGAGUCCUCUGGCUCCAGAUUUGCAUAAUGGCUUUUACACCUUUAAAGAAAACGGGUUGUAUGUGCCAGGAAACUCUCCUUAGCUACCUUUUGGGUGAACUAAUGAAUGCCAACUACACAAACUAUGAACCAUUUUCUCAUUUGUUUUCUAUCUAAGCCUGAGUCAAUUAUAAUCAUAAACAAGAACGAAACAUCAGAUAAAGCCCUGCUUUCAUGCCUGGUAGCCUAGGUGGAAGCACAGCUCAACCUGCUGAGAGUCCUUCACAAGAGAAAGUGUGGAAACACCAUGAGAAAGUUGGGAUUCAAUCAAAGAGACAAGGAAUCCCAUUGCUUCCACCCUAUUUCCUGUUUGAGGCUUUGUCAGGUUUCAACUUCCCAUCAUGACUGGUUCAACCAUGCAAACGAAUUCCUAGAGCUCGGCGUGACAUUUCACUUUACAAAGAUUACACUGGUAAGUCAGAAGAACUUAAAAGAUUGUGUCUGUGCCAGGAUGUAAGCUUGAGCACUGGUUUUGUGUGUUCAGCAUGGCAGUGGUGGCCUGUCCUAUAAAGAUCCAAGCCUUUUCAGAGAUUCUAGGUUAGUCACCCUGGGUCAUCAAGAAUAUUAAAUGCCUUUGCCUCUGUGCUUUGGAGUGCCUGCUGACAGUUCAUUACAGGAGACAAAAAGAUCUGUCUGUAGCUCUGAUUAAUUAAGAAUUUACUGCCACAUCCUUAUGCACUAAGUGCCAAUGACAGUCAACAUAAUAUGUGGUUAGUUUAUGACAUUGAUUUUCCUUGUCAUCUAUGAAUAGCCAGAAAUAAGCUUAAAAAAUGAAACAAUGUUCACGAUAAUUAAAUAACACUCAAGUAGAAGCCAGUAGCUAUAUGACUCUGCUUCUGUUGGACUGGGUGUUGUCAGUUAUGUAAAUGCAAGUGCUGCUGGUUCCGGAAGUCCUUUGUAAAGACAUCUAUUGCUUUUACUUUUGUCACAAAAGGUAUAAUAUGGACACAUCUGGAACAACUAGUCUAAAGCAUGGUUUUACCUUGCUCCCAGGCACAGGAGGAUGCUUCUGAAUGCUGCACUACAGAGUCAUAUUUGAACCAAGCUCUUGGCUGGAAACAGAACACAUUUCUGCUUUCUACAUUUAUUAGCCAAAUGUGUGAAAAGAUUUUUCAUGUUUUAAUUCACUCUGCAUUAACCGUGUGUUCAUAUUUCUGACCCUUGGGCCACAUCCUGCCUUAGUGAUUCUUCAAAGAAUGAAGUAUGAGUAAAACAUACUUCUACUUUAAAAAAGGCGGACAUAAGACCAGCAUGUUCUUACCUGUGUAAGCCUGGAUACUUCCUGGGUGUCAAGAGUUAUGGUUUCUGGCUGGGGAAGAGCAUGCAGUUUUCCUACCAUCAGUCUUGCUGCACUAGCAGAACUUAAUCCUUUUCUAUCUUCUGCAUCAUCCAAAAGAAUUGAUCAUUAAUUUCUAAUUGUAGGACACACAGUAUAAUCCCACUGCCGUCAGAGUGUGCUCUUGCUUAUUGAUGUGUAACCUCCAGGAGACACUUUAUUACUCUUGAUGGAUGAGCCUGGAAGAGCUCAUCUUGACUUUCAGAUCCUAAGCUGCAUUUACAACCUCGGAAGAUGAGAAUCUGGAGGAGAAACAUUUUACUAGUAAACAGAGUGAAUGAACAUACAAUAAACUACUGAGACACAGUAAUCCCA
rnacentral:lncRNA from 1 species